GAUGAAGAACGUAGCGAAAUGCGAUACUUGGUGUGAAUUGCAGAAUCCCGUGAACCAUCGAGUCUUUGAACGCAAGUUGCGCCCGAAGCCAUUAGGUCGAGGGCACGCCUGCCUGGGCGUCACACGUCGUUGCCCCCCCAUCUACUCCUUCGGGAUUGCGGGGGGCGGAUGAUGGCCUCCCGUGCGCCUCGCCGCGCGGUUGGCAUAAAUGCCAAGUCCUCGGCGACGCACGCCACGACAAUCGGUGGUUGCGAAACCUCGGUUGCCCGUCGUGUGCGGUCGUCGCGCAUCGAGGGCUCGAAAAAAUUGCCGGGUUCCGGCUCGGCUUUCAACGCGACCCCAGGUCAGGCGGGGUUACCCGCUGAAUUUAAGCAUAUCAAUAAGCGGAGGA
rnacentral:misc_RNA from 1 species